rnacentral:rRNA from 1 species
UACGAAGGGGGCUAGCGUUGUUCGGAAUUACUGGGCGUAAAGCGCGCGUAGGCGGACUUUCAAGUCAGGGGUGAAAUCCCGAGGCUCAACCUCGGAACUGCCUUUGAUACUGUGAGUCUUGAGCUCGGAAGAGGUGGGUGGAAUUCCUAGUGUAGAGGUGAAAUUCGUAGAUAUUAGGAAGAACACCAGUGGCGAAGGCGGCCCACUGGUCCGAUGCUGACGAUGAGGUGCGAAAGCGUGGGGAGCAAACAGG